GCCCUUCCGCGAGCCCAGGACACGGGUAAGAUCUUUAUUUCAUUACUCCUUUGUAACGCGGUAAUCUCUCUGGUCCAAUACCUGUAUACCUGUUUGCCAUACAGCUCUGAUUCUUGGAAAAGGGUAAGUGAUCCCUCUUUCGUGACCUGAAGAUCAUGUCUCCUGACCUUGUUUUGUGUUCAGCAGGUGGUGGUGGAGAGCUGUGACCCGUUCGAGCCUAGUGAGGAUGUUCACGGACACAGCAGGAACCCACACCCACAGGAGUCCCCCGUUCUGAUGGGAUCUCCGUGCCUUCUGUUGAUCCCAGCGUACUUUGGUUUGUUCUUCUAUUUUCAGGUUCUGUUCCAUUGCAUGCUUUUCUGCUGUGUUUUUCUUCCUUCCUUUUGUUUUACAGGCUGGAAAUGUACGCCUGAUUGGUUCUAUGGUGACCCAAAUGCCAUGUAGGAAGGUUUGGCCAAGUGUGGUGGGAAAGGAAGAGGACUGGGGACGCCAGCACCAGAUGCCGUUGCACUUCCUGACCUCCCUGGGUGGCAGCGUUGGAAGUGCCUGGACCCUUGGAAAGGGCUAAGUGAUUCCUUCAUCAUUACCAGAAUGUAGUUUGUGUUCAAGAGGAGACGGUGGAGAACUGUGGCCUUUUGAUCAGUGCAAAGCGUCUACUGAGGCUCUAGGUGGAGAGAACGGGAACGCAGAGCCAUAGGCGGAUGCCAAGAUCCACUCCUUCCUCUGCCUGGCAAGCUAUGUUGAUCCCUGAGGUUGUUUCCAUGCUUGCAGGUGUCCUAUGCGCUUGGUGUCGGUUGUUCCUUGCGCUCACUUGGCUUUCACCGAGUGUUGUUGCCUUACAACAUUUUUCCCACCCUCUAUUUCCAAGCAGGAGCUCCCCUUGGCCUCCAUGUCUCGCUCUGGCCAGGCAGAUGUGGUGUGCCAACGGUACGCAGAGUCCAGACCCUGAGCAGAAGAGCAACUGAGGA